CUAACAAAAGGAGAUGGCAUUCCUCCUGUUUAAAAACCGUCCAAAUAAAGGGCUGAUGAUGCCUGCGUUCAC
rnacentral:ncRNA from 21 species